rnacentral:rRNA from 1 species
UAGGCCUACGGGGGGCAGCAGUGAGGAAUAUUGGUCAAUGGGCGCAAGCCUGAACCAGCCAGGUCGCGUGAGGGAUGACGGUCCUAUGGAUUGUAAACCUCUUUUGUCGGGGAGCAAGGCCCGCCACGUGUGGCGGGAAGGAGAGUACCCGAAGAAAAAGCAUCGGCUAACUCCGUGCCAGCAGCCGCGGGAAUACGGAGGAUGCGAGCGGUAUCCGGAUUUAUUGGGGUUAAAGGGGGCGUAGGGGGAAGGUUAAGUCAGCGGUCAAAUGGCGGGGCUCAACACCGGCCUGCCGGUGAAACUGG